UCCCUCCAACAUACAAGCACCCUAAACCCUGGAACCCAUCAAUGUACUUCCUUAUGUGGCAAAACAAAAAUAAAAAACAUUGCCAACAUUAUUAAUGUGAAGACUGAGAUGAGAUUGCUCUGGAUUAUGUAAUCACACAGGCUUCAUAAAGAAGGAGUGGGCAGAGAGUCAAAGGCACCAGGCACAGGAAGCAGACUCCAGUGAUCUGCCCCUGGCUUUGAAGCCCUGCAGGACCACCCUCCCAGACUGAGGCGACCUCUGAGAAACGGGAAACCCAGAGGCCACCUGUCCCCAAAUCCUGCAUGAGGAAACACAGCCCUCCAGAUGCUAGCGCAUCCAGCUCUGACCUCCAAAACUGGGACACAGUAUAAACCGAGUUUGAGGCCACCCAGAUACAACAGCCAUAGGGAACCAAUGAGCCAAUAGAUGAUUGCCUCCGUUUGUUAAAUCAAGUCACUUCCAAUGCACUUGCCAACACUCACGGUCCCUAUGCUUGUGUUCUACAGCCACUGUUCAGACAGCCACAGGGCCCUUGCUACAGCUGGGGAAACUGAGGCGCAGGGCCGUGGGCAUCAUCCUCCCAGGUCUCUGCUUCACACAGACUGUUCCGGAAGACUCAGAGCCUUCUCUGCAUGAGUUAAGUUUACAACCAGCCAAGAAAAGUUAAAGCAAGCGUCAAGGCUGAAAUCACUCUCAAGGAAAAUGUGAAUUUCUAAUCAAAAGUAGUCAAUGAGGUAAUAAAACAACAGAAUAAAGCUGAUUUCUCCCCAGAAAUUCACAAGUCUCCCUGGCUCCCAGGCAAGCCCCCCUUGUCAAAUGCCCAAAGAUGCCUGGCUAAGCUCCCUGAGAAGGAUUCUGCACAACUCCGUCUCUAACCCUUGCCAGGGCUUCAGCGCACAGGGAACCUUAACCCCCCAACAAAGCGAAGAGCACCCACCCCCAGGGCUCGCCCCAGCCCUUCGCCAGCCUCUCCACCAUGCGGGCAUGCUGCAAGCUACCCGGUCCCAUGGCAAAGGAACCACGUGUCAGCAGGAAUUACCCCAAAUGGGAAGGAGACCUGUUUUCCUCCUUAAACAGCCUUUGGAAAACCCUUCAAGGGAAAUGGCCACCUGUGUGAGCUGAAUCCAGUGUCCUCACACGAUACCUGUCUGGUCCUAGCAGCGCACCACACCGCUCUCUCCAACAGGCUUCCUGAGCGUGUGGGUGCUCAGAGGUGCAGACCAGCUCCCCACCCUGGGCAUGGACAGCAGUUACAGAGGACUCGUUCUGUCUGAUGAUUCACUGCUGGGCUGACCUCAGUCUCCUAAGCGUCACAUCUUGGGGGAGUGAGGGACAUGGGCCUCCUUUGCUGCCGGGUGGUCUCCUCAGCCCCUCCAGGGGAGUCAUGGACACAGCCCUGGGCUCUCCCCCAGCACUGUCUGCCACUACUGGCCUGGUGCCACCUCCUGUCCUCUCCACCAUGUGCCCUGUGAGGCCAUCAGUGGAGGGUGGCCAUGGGCACAGUCUGGCACCUGAGGCCAUUCCUCCCCAGAGCAGAAGCACGAGGAGUUUGCUCAGCAAGACGCUGGGAAGCAGGGGUGCUUGUUCCUCUGCUGCAGAGGCCCAGGUGCAGGGUGGAGAGGCUGCAGCAGAAGUGGGUCCUGCAGUCUGGCCAGCUUGAGCCCCAGCGAGAGCAGGACUGUGUCAACAUUGGGGACCAAGGGGGGACAUGCAAAGAUUGCUGGUAGGAGUGGGCACUGAGUCAGUCUAAAAACCUGAAAGACGUGAGCAUAAAUUUCACUAGGAAAUUUUAAUACGGAGAUAAUCAGGUGAGUGGCAGCUUGUUCUAUUAAAAACUCCUCUUGGCGUUAUUCCCAAAAAGAAAGCCAGGAGACUGAGCAUCGUUGGCUGCACCCACACUGAAUCACUUAGGCUUCAGCACAUCACGGUGCUCCACGGUGCCAUUGUGACACGAGGGAGGUCUCCACAUCCCCAUGGUUUGACAGUUUCAUUGUGCUUGUAAGAGAAAAGGGUGGCAUGUGUGCGUACUUCAUAUCCACAGCCACAUGGACACAGUCUAACACUCUCCAUCUUCAGGCUGAGAGCACUCAGUACCUUCAUGGCACAUGUCAUAGCUGAUUUCUUAGAAAUACUCAGUGUGCAUUCUUUUCAAAUGAGAACCAUUACUUGCAAUCAACCCCGCCUUGGGUCAGAAUGAGGUACCUUUUCUCCCUUUGAGGAGAUUCUGUAGCUUGCCUGGGAGAAGGGAAAGCCUGUUUAGAAGCCUCGGCCUCGGCCCAUCUUACCUGUGUUUAGAGAAGCCUCCUGCUUGCACCUCCCCAGAAGCACAGCCUGAGCCACGUGGAGCCCAUGUCCCCUACAGCCCCCAUCACCUGUCUGCUCCAAGGAGAAGCACCCCCUGGGAGGAACCUGGCCGAAGCCAGCGGUGUCCCUUCACCUGAAGUCACUUAAGAACUAGUAAAGUUGGACAGAAGGUAACUACAGUUCUUAGCUUUUAGCUCAGCAUACAGUUCUAUGUGAAUGGCCUGGAAAAAUUUUUAAAAAUAUAUUAACUUGAGAUUUGUAUGCCAGAGUACCAUGCCUUCUAAAUGAAAUAGAUUCCACUCAUUCAUUAUCCCAAUAUUUACUGAAAACAUAUUUUAUGUCAGGAAAAUUUCUAGGUGUUUGGAAUACAGAACAAAAUGAACAUCCUAUUUUGGUUACAUGAUAAAUAAAAUUUAAUAAAGUCAAAUCACCUCAAAGGGCUGAUCAAAGAAACAAAAGAAAACAAUCUAUGAUAAUCAGAGCUGAUGCUGCAGAUGUUUACCUAUUUAUUGUCUUGAUACCAACAGCUAGUUAAAACAAACUCUCGGUAUUUUCUUAGCCUUUGAAUCUCUAUAAUUUCGAAUUAAGCUCAAGGAUGGGAUGUUUGUAGAAGCAAAGGUUCAGGUAUGUCCCUAUCUCUCACCUGCACCAAGACCCCACAGGGCAUCCUGUUAGCCUCCCGAUGGUGGUCAGCUCCUGGGUAGAAGAGUUUAGCUGGCAUCCAAGAGGAAAUAACAUGGCUUUUAUCUGCAUGUUGCUCCUCAGGGAACUCUGUCCUCAGGACCUUGUGCAGGUUAACAAGCUGGCAGACACAGCUGUCUGUCAAUCAUUACAAAGGUUGGUACCAAGACACCCGAUCAUGGGUUCUGAGACCCAUCCACCUCUUGCUUGAGUGAGCCAAUAAUUUAUUCUGAACACCAGCUUCUGAAUCUCUCAGGGGAGGUGACUUUAUUUAAAUACUUCAUAGGAAGCCAGUUUGGUGACGCAUACCUAUAAUUCCAGCCAUUCAGCAGGCGGAAGCAGAAGG
rnacentral:lncRNA from 1 species